rnacentral:rRNA from 1 species
CAGUCGCCGCGGGAAUACGAAGGGUGCAAGCGUUAAUCGGAAUUACUGGGCGUAAAGCGUGCGUAGGCGGUGAGUUAAGUCUGCUGUGAAAUCCCCGGGCUCAACCUGGGAAUGGCAGUGGAUACUGGCUCGCUAGAGUGUGUCAGAGGAUGGUGGAAUUCCCGGUGUAGCGGUGAAAUGCGUAGAGAUCGGGAGGAACAUCAGUGGCAAAGGCGGCCAUCUGGGACAACACUGACGCUGAGGCACGAAAGCGUGGGGAGCAAACAGGAUUAGAUACCCCUGUAGUCCCUGUCUCUUAUAU